UUGGAAAAAGUUUGAUCCUGGCUCAGAUUGAACGCUGGCGGCAGGCCUAACACAUGCAAGUCGAGCGGUAACAGGGGAAGCUUGCUUCUCGCUGACGAGCGGCGGACGGGUGAGUAAUGUAUGGGGAUCUGCCCGAUAGAGGGGGAUAACCACUGGAAACGGUGGCUAAUACCGCAUAAUCUCUUAGGAGCAAAGCAGGGGAACUUCGGUCCUUGCGCUAUCGGAUGAACCCAUAUGGGAUUAGCUAGUAGGUGGGGUAAUGGCUCACCUAGGCGACGAUCCCUAGCUGGUCUGAGAGGAUGAUCAGCCACACUGGGACUGAGACACGGCCCAGACUCCUACGGGAGGCAGCAGUGGGGAAUAUUGCACAAUGGGCGCAAGCCUGAUGCAGCCAUGCCGCGUGUAUGAAGAAGGCCCUAGGGUUGUAAAGUACUUUCAGUCGGGAGGAAGG
rnacentral:rRNA from 1 species